rnacentral:rRNA from 14 species
CAAACUCGGAAAUAGCUCGUACUCCCCGAAAUGCAUUUAGGUGCAGCGUUGAUUUAUAGUUUUAUAGAGGUAGAGCUACUGAUUGGAUGCGGGGGCUUCACCGCCUACCAAUUCCUGACAAACUCCGAAUGCUAUAAAAUGUUGAUCAGCAGUGAGGGCAUGGGUGCUAAGGUCCAUGUCCGAGAGGGAAACAACCCAGACCAUCAGCUAAGGUCCCCAAAUGUAUGUUAAGUUGUAAAAACGCGGUUGAACUGCUUAGACAGCUAGGAUGUUGGCUUGGAAGCAGCCAUUCAUUUAAAG